AAAUAAAUAAAUGAACUUUUGCCCAGUACUUUGAACUCCCCUGUCUCUCUUCCCCCAAAUCCCUUAUGUUUUUUUUUUUUUUUUAAAUUAUGUAAAUUCAGAAACGUAAACCUGCUGCCUCCCUAACCAUUCAUACAACUGAACAAGUAGCAGUUUCUCCCUCACCACUCUCAAUCUGAUUCAAGCCCUUCUCCCUCAUCAAUUUCCCUAAAUCUCGAAGCCCCCUACAACAGCUUUCGGCUUUCUACUCGAAACAGGCUGCUGAUCCUUUGCGUGGGAUCCGAAAAUUUCAAGUUUUCUUGUAAGGAAACAACUUCACUGAGGAGCCCUUUUCUAGUUGAUAGCGGUGAAUCGUAGUUGAUAGUGGUGAAUCGGGCUUGACUCCUUGAUACAUUCCCUUUCUUGACCAUAUCACAUUUCUUGACCACUGACCAUCAGCCUUACUUGCAGCCUCAUAACAUGACUUUGCAAACUGUUCACCAAAGAUUUGGAAAUUCUAUAGAAAGGGAUCUUGUUUCGUAUUGGAUGGCAAAGGUUACUAAUUACACUGCUACACUACUGUGGAACAUUCUACACUUUUUGGUUACAACUUGGUACUGGGUAAAUAAUGUGCUUCAUAUGCUUGAGAGCUAUUUUAUUACUUGUGGAUUAUUAAAGAAGUACAAAUCCCUUGAUUUGAGUAAACUUAGAUACUUGGCUAUUGCAAUUGAAAGUGAAGAAGCUCAUUGUCUAUCACAAGUUAUUGAAUUGCUUCAUUUGGUGGCUGAUAUUGGUGUAAAGCAUGUUUGUUUGUUUGAUAUAGAAGGAAUGCUUAAGGAAUCACAGGUGACCAUCUUGGAAAAGUGCUAUGCUAGACCAUGGAAGGGAGUUGAAACUACUGAAGCAUUCUCAAAUCAUAGUCAAUUAUCUAUAGAGUUUGUGUCGUCAUCCGAUGGUAAGGAAGGCAUUGCUAAAGCAGCAGACUUACUUUUUUUGAAGUAUAAAGAUGCUGAUAAAGACAAGCCAAAAUUUACCGAAGCACUUUUUGAUGAGGCUUUACAACUUGUUGGGUGUUCUGGUCCCGAUCCUGAUCUCCUAUUAGUUUAUGGACCUACAAGAUGUCAUCUCGGUUUUCCUCCAUGGAGGAUGCGGUACACUGAGAUUGUGUAAGUGAAUCUUCUGCAAGUCUGAACCAUGGCUCUGCCUCCGCCCCUUGAACAAGUAUACAGUCUACAUCAUCCACUUUAAGAUGCCUCAUUAAGAUGUAGUAUGCAUUCCUUUGUAUUUCCUCUGCAUUCCCUUUGAAGUUGAGUUCCACUCCGGUCUACCCAUUCCCUCCUUCCUCCUUUUCACUCUCUUGUGUUUCCAUGCAGAAAUCAAUGCAUACUUCUUUAGGGGAUACAGGCCAAAUAGAAUUAACCUUAAAAGCAAAGUUUGUUUGUACUAGUUAAGCACCACUAAUGAAAGAGUAUAUAUAGGCGCACAAUCUCACUGUUGCACAGGGUAGGUUCACGGAAGGAGAUAUCUGGGGGUCUUUUCUUGAGCCGAGGGAUGAGUAUGGGUUGUUGUCUUCCAUCCCUCCCUAGACUUUGAUUAUAGUUCCGAUGAGCGGGAUACACUGGGUGCGAUGAUGAUGAUGAUGAUGAUGAUGAUAAGAUAUUUUUGAUUCAUUUGGAUGAUUUUGGUGAAUGGUGAACAUUAGUUGCUUUAACUUCUGUAAACUAGUGUUGCUGUUCCCAGAUUUUUUUCUCUGCAGCUUGCGUCUUUGCUUGUUGAAUGCUAAUGUUUUUGAUGAUGAGACAUUCAUUUUGUUCACUUGUUUUAUUGUAGACAUAUGGGCCAUCUGAAGUCUAUCAAACACGGUUCCUUAAUCAAGGCCAUAUAUAGA